UACGAGAGCCCCGAGCGUUAUCCGGAAUUAUUGGGCGUAAAGGGUGCGUAGGUGGUUGUGUUAGUCGUUUGUUAAAUCCUUGGGCUUAACCUAAGAAUCGCGAACGAAACGGCACAACUUGAGAGUGUGAGGGGUAAAGGGAACUCAUGGUGUAGGGGUGAAAUCCGUUGAUAUCAUGGGGAACACCAAAAGCGAAGGCACUUUACUGGCACAUAUCUGACACUCAAGCACGAAAGCGUGGGUAGCGAAUGGG
rnacentral:rRNA from 1 species